GGGAAACCUACCUCUUAGCAGGGGAUAACACUUGGAAACAAGUGCUAAUACCGUAUAACACUAAUAACCGCAUGGUUAUUAGUUAAAAGAUGGUCUUGCUAUCACUAAGAGAUGGUCCCGCGGUGUAUUAGCUAGUUGGUAAGGUAAUGGCUUACCAAGGCAAUGAUACAUAGCCGAGUUGAGAGACUGAUCGGCCACAAUGGGACUGAGACACGGCCCAUACUCCUACGGGAGGCAGCAGUAGGGAAUCUUCCACAAUGGACGAAAGUCUGAUGGAGCAACGCCGCGUGUGUGAUGAAGGGUUUCGGCUCGUAAAACACUGUUGUAAGAGAAGAAUGACAUUGAGAGUAACUGUUCAGUGUGUGACGGUAUCUUACCAGAAAGGAACGGCUAAAUACGUGCCAGCAGCCGCGGUAAUACGUAUGUUCCAAGCGUUAUCCGGAUUUAUUGGGCGUAAAGCGAGCGCAGACGGUUAUUUAAGUCCGAAGUGAAAGCCCACAGCUUAACUGUGGAAGUGCUUUGGAAACUGGAUAACUUGAGUGCAGUAGAGGAGAGUGGAACUCCAUGUGUAGCGGUGAAAUGCGUAGAUAUAUGGAAGAACACCAGUGGCGAAGGCGGCUCUCUGGACUGUAACUGACGUUGAGGCUCGAAAGUGUGGGUAGCAAACAGGAUUAGAUACCCUGGUAGUCCACACCGUAAACGAUGAGUGCUAGAUGUUUGAGGGUUUCCGCCCUUAAGUGUCGCAGCUAACGCAUUAAGCACUCCGCCUGGGGAGUACGACCGCAAGGUUGAAACUCAAAGGAAUUGACGGGGACCCGCACAAGCGGUGGAGCAUGUGGUUUAAUUCGAAGCAACGCGAAGAACCUUACCAGGUCUUGACAUCCUUUGACCACUUCAGAGAUGAAGCUUUCCCUUCGGGGACAAAGUGACAGGUGGUGCAUGGUUGUCGUCAGCUCGUGUCGUGAGAUGUUGGGUUAAGUCCCGCAACGAGCGCAACCCUUAUUACUAGUUGCCAGCAUUCAGUUGGGCACUCUAGUGAGACUGCCGGUGACAAACCGGAGGAAGGUGGGGAUGACGUCAAAUCAUCAUGCCCCUUAUGACCUGGGCUACACACGUGCUACAAUGGCAAGUACAACGAGCAGCUAACCCGCGAGGGUACGCGAAUCUCUUAAAACUUGUCUCAGUUCGGAUUGUAGGCUGCAACUCGCCUACAUGAAGUCGGAAUCGCUAGUAAUCGCGGAUCAGCACGCCGCGGUGAAUACGUUCCCGGGUCUUGUACACACC
rnacentral:rRNA from 1 species